AAUAGAGAUAUGGCAAUGGCUGCUAUAAACUCUCUGAGUGGAAAUUAUACAAUGAGGGGGUGCGAUCAACCUUUAACUGUUCGGUUUGCUGACCCCAAGAGACCUAAACCUGGAGAACAACCUAGAGGUGGUGGGCCAGCUUUUGGUGGACCUGGUGUUGGACCUCGCUUCCCAACACCUGGGAUUAGACCACCACCUAAUAUUGGCGAGCCUGUGCAAGGACAAGUUGGUCCUAAUGCUUGGCGUCCUAUGAGCCCUGAAGGUUUCAGGCCAGUUUCCAACCAAGGGAUGCAUGGUUUUGGAAAUCAAUUUCCUCCUAGAUCCACUGAUACCACAGUGCCUUCUGCUUUGGGUGGCUCCUUCAGGAGUGUUAAUGGCACUGG
rnacentral:misc_RNA from 1 species